rnacentral:lncRNA from 1 species
UGUGAGCCGCUGUGCCCAGGCCAAUCCCAGAGAUUUUGAAGAUGAUUUCUCGAUACGAGUUUCACGAAGACUUGAAAAGAAUGUGUCCUCUGUUGUUGGAUGGAGUGUCCUUGAAAUGUUCAUUAGCCUUCUAGCUCCAUUCAGAAGAGCCUCCGAAGUAGAGACCAGAAAUCCUUCUAGUGGGCUGUGCUUUGAGCAGUACUGCUUGUUGACUGCUUUACUUGGAAGGAGAGAUCGACUGAGCCUGAGGGAUCUAAAGCCUUGGGACUUCUGGAUCUGCAAGUGGUCCCUGUUUUGGUAGCUAUUGACUGACGAGGGGCUCUUCGGUAAGUUCUGGGGUGGCAGUGGAGGUGAUGAUGGGAGGGUGUUACAGGGCUCCACAGGCUCUUACAGGGCUCGGGAGCUUAUUUAAGGGAACACCUUGAUUGUCCAUGUGUCGUGGGCCAGAGAAGAAAGGCAGCACUGUGGAUCUUCUGGGAGGAAAGGAGAGGCGUCGAUUUCUGACUCCAGUUUUCUAUGAUCAGCACAGACUCUGUCCCACCUCCUCCCUACAGAGCUUCUGGAUCCUGGAGGAUGGAGAAUAGGCUAAAUUGCACAGGCCAGCUCCAGUCCAUUGGCAGGGCUGCCUAGAACAUGGCUGUGAUGAUCCCAAAGCUCAAUAGCAGAGAACCCUGUGGGGUGCUAGGAGUGUCUGCCAGGGUGCCGCAGGGAAAGGGGAGCAUGUGUGUAGAUGUAGAAAGCAUCUCUGCCAUCCCCUCCCCUAAAGAAUAUAUAACAUGGCCAUGCAGAAAAACACUUGUGAAAGGAGCUGCUGCCCUCAGGACAGCGUGUCAUUGAAAUGGGGGCUGAGCAACCCGUCAGAAGAGUGGGGAGGAGGGACCAUCCUCCAGCCCCUUCCCAGCUCUCUUCUGGAGCCAUAAGCCACAACACUGUCUAUGAAAAAGCUGAGGCCUAGAGCAGAAGGAGUGCAAAAUCCCAGCUACUGCAGGCCUACGCCCAGUGGUUCUCAAAGUGUUGUCCUCAGUCUAGCAGCAUCAGUGUCACCUGAAAACUGGUUAGACAUCCAGGUUCUCAGUUGUUAUCCAGCUCUAGCAGAUGGGAAACGCUGGGGGCGGGACCAGCCAUCUGUGUUUAACAAGCCCCACAGGUGACUGCUGUAGCCUUGAGUGAGGACCUCGGCCAAAAAGAAGGCUCCUACCGUGGCUGUUUGCUGAUGGUCUUCGCAGAGCCUGCUGUCUUUGAGCUUCCUGAGAGAGGGACACUACCCUCGCUUAGCCUGGCAGUGUUGCCCAGGAGGAGGCAGUGGAGUUAAGAAGCCUGGGUCUGAGCUCCUCAGCUGUGCAGACAACUCCUACUUGUUCUUCAACGCUCAACUUUAAGUUCAGUCACCACCUGCAGAAGUCUUCUCCAAAACCUCCCCACCUGGCUGACUAAGGGGCUGGCUUUAUGCUCUUGCAGUACUCAUGCUUCCUACUGUCACAGUUCUGACCACACCGUGGGAAAACGUCUCUAACUAGAGACCUGUCUUGCCUCUUGUGCCUGUAGUACGGGAUGGGUGCCCAGUGUGUGUUGAUUGUAUGAAUCAAUCUCUGUGACUCCAGAGUUCCUUUCUUCAGGAGAUUAGACAUCACCCCUGCAAUCAACAAUGCAAGCCACUGCUGUUUCCUCCAUCCUGAGCAUGAGGAACCUAUCCAGUUUCUCUCUCAGAUGCCAGGGCCAUGAGGCAAGUCCAGCCUUGGCCUAGAACCAAAGAUGGAAACAAAAAGGGGCCAGACUGUGUUGCCUUCUUGAGCCUGGUCUGACUCCUGAGUGGAAGUCUGAUUCCAGGUACAUGAGAUAAGCACUAAUACCUCCAGUUUGCAGAUUAAGAGACUGAGGUCCUGAAGAGGUUAAAGAACUUGGCUCAAGUCACAUAGCUGGUGAGCAGCAAGAUACAAGAAUCAACCCAAGUCCAGGGGGCUGUGUGCCGUUUACACUUCACAUCUGUGCUGCCAGGGCUGUAGCUAUAAAAGCUUGAAAACCAUUACUCUGAGAAUCUCUCUGUUGGGAAAAUGAGUCCCUUCAACUCUAGUUGUUGCCACUGGGAUGCUAACAGAAAGCAAAGUCUCAGAGGAAAGAUGUGGCAUUCCUGAGUGUCUUCCAUGUACCAGGACUUCUAUUUGCUAGCCACUUUAUGUUCCUCAUCCCAUCCUUCUGUGAGGGACAUACUUUUCAGAUGAGAAACGUAAGCUCCGCGAAGCUAAGGGGCCGGACUGAGGUCCCACAGCGAGAGUGUGGAGGAGCCAGGAUCCGAACCCCAUCGCCAGCCCUUGCCAGUUCCAUGAUUCCGGUGCCAGCGCUCGCCUGACCUCCAGGGCUGUCAUGGUGGGAAGGGACUGGAGGGCAUCUGCUGGGCAAAGGAAAGAGACAAACAUCAUCCCAGAGCCUGUCUUCCCUGGGCAAUACCCGGGCCACUCCAGACAUGGCGUCUUUAGCCCUUCCUUGGUCACUGGCCCCCAGGUGAAGAGAGCAUUUUUCUCUGACUCAAGUUCUUGCCUCUGGAUUUGCCAAGCUCCUAUGACAGUCUUCGCCCUUCUGAAGCUCUCUCAGGCUCCCCUUCCAGAAAUCCCGCAGGUUCCACCGACCUCUCUGAGAGCACAGGCGAGUGGUUGAACGGUGGGCUUUAGAGACGGCGCGGCACCAGAGUCCUGUACUGGCUGUGUGAUCCUGAACCUCCUCACUGAGAUUCUCAUCUGCAAGAUGGAGA